rnacentral:lncRNA from 1 species
GGGGGGGGUGAGAGACUAUCAGGGUGAAGGGAGGAGGGGUCUACUUGCUGGUCACAGGAUCCAUGGUUUGGAUACAAACCUGGGGCUUUGUCAUAUUUGAUAAGAGACAGAAGUGCUUAGACAUGGACUGGAAUGCAGAGGAGGCAAGUUGGCGUUUUCGACUUAGCUAAAGUAUUCCCCAGCCAAAGGUCAGCCCGUGCUGCUCUGUGAUUUGAUGGAUGCAAGAGACAACAUGCUCUGCAGAAAGAUAUUGGAUUAAAAGGCCAAAUUGACAGCUGCCAUAGAGUACAACACCCUUGUACCAGAUUCAGCAAUACCAUCGGCAGAUGAGAUCCUUUCCGCAGACCUUCAUGCAUGGCCUUGGGAGCUGCAUGGACAGGACCCGGUACUUCUCAGAUUUGACUUUGUUUGUUCCGGCAUCUAUCUGUCCAGAUCCGGUACCUCUCGCAGCAUGAAUUAUUAAUUGGUUCACUGUUCGUAUUGUAGACAUUCUAAUAAAAGUGAUCAGCAUUAAA